rnacentral:rRNA from 1 species
GAUGAACGCUGGCGGCGUGCCUAAUACAUGCAAGUCGAGCGAACGGACGAGAAGCAUGCUUUUCUGAUGUUAGCGGCGGACGGGUGAGUAACGCGUGGAUAACCUACCUAUAAGACUGGGAUAACUUCGGGAAACCGGAGCUAAUACCGGAUAAUAUUUUGAACCGCAUGGUUCAAAAGUGAAAGACGGUCUUGCUGUCACUUAUAGAUGGAUCCGCGCUGCAUUAGCUAGUUGGUAAGGUAACGGCUUACCAAGGCAACGAUGCAUAGCCGACCUGAGAGGGUGAUCGGCCACACUGGAACUGAGACACGGUCCAGACUCCUACGGGAGGCAGCAGUAGGGAAUCUUCCGCAAUGGGCGAAAGCCUGACGGAGCAACGCCGCGUGAGUGAUGAAGGUCUUCGGAUCGUAAAACUCUGUUAUUAGGGAAGAACAUAUGUGUAAGUAACUGUGCACAUCUUGACGGUACCUAAUCAGAAAGCCACGGCUAACUACGUG